GUUGUCUUUGCUACUAUUUUCCUUCUCUUGCUUGAGAUCUGCGUUUUCUUUCUUACUAUUUUUGAGCUCUUCCCUGAGAACUGCGUUUUCUUUCUUAAUAUUUUCAAGCUCUUCCGUCAGUUCUGCAUCUCUUCUAUGGUGGUGCUCAAAUUGAAGCACUACGUCUCUGUGAAUUUGAGACAGUGUCAUCACACUAACAUCAAGCUGCACUCUUAGUGACUCAUCUCCACUAUCGCUUCCAGAAGGUAAGUUAUUAAAUGAUUCCUGUGACAUUUUUUUAAAGGUUUAAAGCACGGUGUCACAGGUUAAAUACGUAUUAGCUUUGCCUAAAACAACCGGCUGUUUCUGAAAAUGCUCCAAUGUAAACUGAGUAAACUGUUAAAGGAGCUCCCUAUUUAAGGACUAGCAGAGAACGUGACGUCGACCGAGAACGUGACGUCGACCGUGACGUCAGAAUGGUCCUUUGUGAAGAUCAAAGGAUCACAGAGCGAGGGGGCGUUCCAAGAUGGCCGAGUAAGUACACGCUUACUCCCCAGCUUAGCAAAUGUAACGCUAUAAUACUGUAGGAACACUGUGUCAACUCAGACCUCAGAAGCUUUUUCGGUAUUUAAGCCAGAAAAGGACUGAUUUUGAUCAAUAAAGCGACAAAAUGUCACAGCGUGACCAGGGCUGGACUGGGACAAAAAAAUCGGCCCGGGCAUUUUGACUAGAGACCGGCCCACGAAAAAUGUGACGACGAUGCCCAAGGAAAUCAAGAACGGGCAACCCAAACUGGCAUUUAGACGGAUUAAUAAUCAGUCCAUGCUCCGCCAAACGCUGAAAAACCUGACGCAGAUGGAACAUGUGCUGCUCCUUCGAGCUGCUGGCCACCAGUAUAUCAUCAAGAUAUACAAAAACAAAGGGCAGCCCGCGCAAGACCGAGUCCAUCAACCGCUGGAAGGUUUGGGCGGCACCUUUCAGGCCAAACGGCAUGCGCAGAAACUGGAAAAGGCCGAAAGGUGUAAUUACGGCGGUUUUGGGGACAUCCUCGGGAACCUGGUGAUAUCCCCGUACCAAAUCGAUCUUCGAAAAUGACACAGCAUCAAUUAAACGUCUGUUAGCAACAUCAACCAGCAGCCCGUGAGCACAAAGAAAAUCAGCGCCUAUUAUAGGCACAGAGCUAGCAGCAACAACAAAGUUCCACUGAAAGUCACGGUCGUGAAAGCAAACAGUCACCAACCUUUUGUAACCCAGUGUUAAUUUGGUUAUCUGACUUUGUGUGAUAUUCAGUAUAUAUGUAUAUAUCUAUAUUGGGUGUUAUAAAAUGUUCUUCAAUGAUUUUGAGGUUUUUUUUAUAUUGCUAUGGGUUUGCGGCUGCUUUACGACAGUCGACUGUAGUGGUACAUCCUAGCGGGAGGGGCUAUGAGCUCACGUGGCUUGUAGCUGUGCCAGAGAGCAAGCUUGGGUGAGCUAGCGGGGAAUAUCUCCUUAUGCAGUAGCCUUGAAAAGGAUUAUUGUUCGUUCUCCUGCCAGACGCCUCGCUGCUGUGCUGCCUUACUACUGUGCUGCCUUACUGGUGCCAUUAAAGGACAAGCGGCCGCCAUCCCUUCAUCCAUCCGGACCUUGAUUAUUUGGACCGAAGUACUCACACACACGCCCGCACUCAGUGCCAUACAGUCUCUUUAUUUUGCUGGCCAGCUAAUACCAUUGUUUUUUUUGUUUUGUUUUGUUUGCAUUCAUAAAGACUAUCCAAAGACAUUUUGGUUAUUGUCAAAUAGACACUCUCUGAUUACGGACUGAGGAGGUUGUGGUGUUACAACCCCAGGACUGAGAAGGACUCUUUACAUAAUAUAUUCACUUGUCUCCUGGUUAGGAGAAGUGACUAUUGAUGGAAAUAUUUUUCUUCUUGUCUUUAUUUACAUUGUAUCCCAAAGAAGUUUUAAGUUGUUCAGGUUGAAACAUUUGCACUUAAAGUCUGUUAAGUUUCCUUUGAUGUAUCAGUGUCAAGCUGAUGUUUAAGAGGGUAUGUUAAGGACAGAUGUGCUCCAGUCCAUCCAAUCCUUUAAAGUGCUGGACACCGAUGGUAAAUUGCCAUCAGACCCUAAAUAAAUUGUCCUCUGCUGUUA